rnacentral:rRNA from 1 species
ACCGGCGAUACCCGAAUGGGGAAACCCAGUGUGAUUCGUCACACUAUCAUUAACUGAAUCCAUAGGUUAAUGAGGCGAACCGGGGGAACUGAAACAUCUAAGUACCCCGAGGAAAAGAAAUCAACCGAGAUUCCCCCAGUAGCGGCGAGCGAACGGGGAGGAGCCCAGAGCCUGAAUCAGCAUGUGUGUUAGUGGAAGCGUCUGGAAAGGCGCGCGAUACAGGGUGACAGCCCCGUACACAAAAGCGCAUGUGCUGUGAGCUCGAUGAGUAGGGCGGGACACGUGGUAUCCUGUCUGAAUAUGGGGGGACCAUCCUCCAAGGCUAAAUACUCCUGACUGACCGAUAGUGAACCAGUACCGUGAGGGAAAGGCGAAAAGAACCCCGGCGAGGGGAGUGAAAAAGAACCUGAAACCGUGUACGUACAAGCAGUGGGAGCACCCUUUGGGUGUGACUGCGUACCUUUUGUAUAAUGGGUCAGCGACUUAUAUU